AUUGAACGCUGGCGGCAGGCUUAACACAUGCAAGUCGAGCGGGGGAAGGUACGCUUGCUCCUGCGAGCCUAGCGGCGGACGGGUGAUGUACUGCUUAGGAAUCUGCCUAUUAGUGGGGGAUAACAUCUCGAAGGGAUGCUNAUACCGCAUACGUCCUUACGGGGAGAAAGCAGGGGAUCUUCGGACCUUGCGCUAUUAGAUGAGCCUAGGUCGGUUAGCUAGUUGUGGGGUAAAGGCCUACCAGGCACAAUCUGUAGCUGGUCUGAGAGGAUGAUCCGCCACACUGGGACUGAGACACGGCCCAUACUCCUACGGGAGGCAGCAGUGGGGAAUAUUGGACAAUGGGGGAAACCCUGAUCCAGCCAUGCCGCGUGUGUAAGAAGGCCUUAUGGUUUAAAGCACUUUAAGCGAGGAGGAGGUACUUAGUUAAUACCUAGGGAUAGUGGCGUUCCCAAAAAGGCCCGGGUACUCUUCCACACGGGGG
rnacentral:rRNA from 1 species